rnacentral:rRNA from 1 species
UAAUUGAAGAGUUUGAUCAUGGCUCAGAUUGAACGCUGGCGGCAGGCUUAACACAUGCAAGUCGAGCGGUAGCACAAGA